AGCGAACGCUGGCGGCAGGCUUAACACAUGCAAGUCGAACGGGCGUAGCAAUACGUCAGUGGCAGACGGGUGAGUAACGCGUGGGAACGUACCUUUUGGUUCGGAACAACCCAGGGAAACUUGGGCUAAUACCGGAUAAGCCCUUACGGGGAAAGAUUUAUCGCCGAAAGAUCGGCCCGCGUCUGAUUAGCUAGUUGGUGUGGUAACGGCGCACCAAGGCGACGAUCAGUAGCUGGUCUGAGAGGAUGAUCAGCCACAUUGGGACUGAGACACGGCCCAAACUCCUACGGGAGGCAGCAGUGGGAAUAUUGGACAAUGGGCGCAAGCCUGAUCCAGCCAUGCCGCGUGAGUGAUGAAGGCCCUAGGGUUGUAAAGCUC
rnacentral:rRNA from 1 species